GCGAGGGUAGCAAAGUGGUCAAAUGCGCAGGACUUAAGAUCCUGUGGCUUAGUGCCUUCGGAGGUUCGAAUCCUCUCCCUCGCA
rnacentral:tRNA from 1 species